GCCUAACACAUGCAAGUCGAGCGGUAGCACAGGAGAGCUUGCUCUCCGGGUGACGAGCGGCGGACGGGUGAGUAAUGUCUGGGAAACUGCCUGAUGGAGGGGGAUAACUACUGGAAACGGUAGCUAAUACCGCAUAACGUCUACGGACCAAAGUGGGGGACCUUCGGGCCUCACGCCAUCAGAUGUGCCCAGAUGGGAUUAGCUAGUAGGUGGGGUAAUGGCUCACCUAGGCGACGAUCCCUAGCUGGUCUGAGAGGAUGACCAGCCACACUGGAACUGAGACACGGUCCAGACUCCUACGGGAGGCAGCAGUGGGGAAUAUUGCACAAUGGGCGCAAGCCUGAUGCAGCCAUGCCGCGUGUGUGAAGAAGGCCUUAGGGUUGUAAAGCACUUUCAGCGAGGAGGAAGGGUUCUGUGUUAAUAGCACUGUGCAUUGACGUUACUCGCACAAGAACCCCCGGCCUACUCCCUGCCAGCAGCCGCGGUA
rnacentral:rRNA from 1 species